GAGAGAGAGAGAAAUAUAUAUAUGUGUGUAACUUUAAAAAAAAAGAGAGAUUUCAAUAUAAAAUGCGGAGCUGACUGCCACAGGAGGCAUCGUGGAAGCGAUCGGGAUGGAAACGGAGCUCUGCACACACAACCUGUCCCUUGCUUGUCCUAUAAUCCAGUGGCAUGUGCUGAUGACAUCACAUGUCCAUUGCCUGCAACUUCCAGUCCCUUGCAACUGUCAUUUAAUGCUGCAAGCAAAUGAAAAAUGACCGUGAGACUCACUGGCUCCCAGAAGUGACCUUGGGUAUUAUUAGAAUGACCUCCCAUCGGCUUGACCAGAAGACCUUUGAUAUCUGCAAGAAGAAAAUACACGAGUGAGAUGCCUCGUCUACCAACAGAAAAAGGACAUCAGAGGAAACAGCACAAAUCUAAUGCUAAUGCGUUAGCUUCUUGUAGGAACGUUGUAAAAGUGAUCAAUACACACAACUUGAACCUCUGCCUCUAAUGCUCUGCCAGUGUUUCUUUGUUGUAUACGUCACUGCUUUAUUUAUAUCCCAUUUUGAUUUAAAAAUAAAGCCCUGGGCAUGUAAAAUA